rnacentral:rRNA from 2 species
AGACCCGAAACCCGGUGAUCUAGCCAUGGGCAGGUUGAAGGUUGGGUAACACUAACUGGAGGACCGAACCGACUAAUGUUGAAAAAUUAGCGGAUGACCUGUGGCUGGGGGUGAAAGGCCAAUCAAACCGGGAGAUAGCUGGUUCUCCCCGAAAGCUAUUUAGGUAGCGCCUCGUGAAUUCAUCUCCGGGGGUAGAGCACUGUUUCGGCUAGGGGGCCAUCCCGGCUUACCAACCCGAUGCAAACUGCGAAUACCGGAGAAUGUUAUCACGGGAGACACACGGCGGGUGCUAACGUCCGUCGUGAAGAGGGAAACAACCCAGACCGCCAGCUAAGGUCCCAAAGUCAUGGUUAAGUGGGAAACGAUGUGGGAAGGCCCAGACAGCCAGGAUGUUGGCUUAGAAGCAGCCAUCAUUUAAAGAAAGCGUAAUAGCUCACUGGUCGAGUCGGCCUGCGCGGAAGAUGUAACGGGGCUAAACCAUGCACCGAAGCUGCGGCAGCGAACGUAUCACCCAAGACAACUUUACGGAGUUGACGAUUGACGGAGCGAAGCGACGUCAAAGCGUUCAUUAAAGUCGAGUUGGCUUAGGGAUACGUUCGUUGGGUAGGGGAGCGUUCUGUAAGCCUGUGAAGGUGUGUCGUGAGGCAUGCUGGAGGUAUCAGAAGUGCGAAUGCUGACAUAAGUAACGAUAAAGCGGGUGAAAAGCCCGCUCGCCGGAAGACCAAGGGUUCCUGUCCAACGUUAAUCGGGGCAGGGUGAGUCGACCCCUAAGGCGAGGCCGAAAGGCGUAGUCGAUGGGAAACGGGUUAAUAUUCCCGUACUUGGUGUUACUGCGAAGGGGGGACGGAGAAGGCUAUGUUGGCCGGGCGACGGUUGUCCCGGUUUAAGCGUGUAGGUGUGUGUUCCAGGUAAAUCCGGUUCACUUUAACACUGAGGCGUGACGACGAGGCACUACGGUGCUGAAGCAACAAAUGCCCUGCUUCCAGGAAAAGCCUCUAAGCAUCAGGUAACACGAAAUCGUACCCCAAACCGACA